rnacentral:SRP_RNA from 1 species
GAAAGGUCUUGAAGCAAAGAAGUGCUUACGAACCGUGUCAGAUUCGAAAGAAAGCAGCACUAAGUAUCCUAUUUCUUGUGCUUCUCGUAAUUAGAUUUU